AACUUUUAAAGGAUAACAGUUAAUCCACUGGUCUUAGGAACCAUUAACC
rnacentral:tRNA from 1 species